GUCAUGGCUCAGGACGAACGCUGGCGGCGUGCUUAACACAUGCAAGUCGAACGAGAAUCUGUGGGACGAGGAUUCGUCCAAGUGAAGCAGAGGACAGUGGCGGACGGGUGAGUAACGCGUGAGGAACCUGCCUUUCAGAGGGGGACAACAGUUGGAAACGACUGCUAAUACCGCAUGACACAUAGAUGUCGCAUUGCAUUUAUGUCAAAGAUUUAUCGCUGAAAGA
rnacentral:rRNA from 1 species